UACAGAGGGUGCUAGCGUUGUUCGGAAUCAUUGGGCGUAAAGGGCUCGUAGGCGGCCAACUAAGUCAGACGUGAAAUCCCUCGGCUUAACCGGGGAACUGCGUCUGAUACUGGAUGGCUUGAGAUUGGGAGAGGGAUGCGGAAUUCCAGGUGUAGCGGUGAAAUGCGUAGAUAUCUGGAGGAACACCGGUGGCGAAGGCGACAUCCUGGACCAACACUGACGCUGAGGAGCGAAAGCCAGGGGAGCAAACGGG
rnacentral:rRNA from 1 species